AUUGAACGCUGGCGGCAGGCCUAACACAUGCAAGUCGAACGAGUGGCGGACGGGUGAGUAAUGUAUGGGAAACUGCCUGCUGGAGGGGGAUAACUACUGGAAACGGUAGCUAAUACCGCAUACCAUCAGAUGUGCCCAGAUGGGAUUAGCUUGUUGGUGGGGUAACGGCUCACCAAGGCGACGAUCCAUAGCUGGUCUGAGAGGAUGACCGGCAACACUGGAACUGAGAUACGGUCCAUAUGCCUACGGGAGGCAGCAUGGUGGAAUAUGGCACAAUGGGCUCAAGCCUGAUGCAGCCAUGCCGCUUGUAUGAAGAAGGCCUUCGGGUUGUAAAGUACUUUCAGCGGGGAGGCGUUACCCGCAGAAGAAGCACCGGCUAACUCCGUGACAGCAGCCGCGGUAAUAC
rnacentral:rRNA from 1 species